AGCUGAUUUGAGUUACAUAAUCCUUUUUUGAAUUGGAGUAGCAAAGCCGAGACAGGUCUUUCAUUAACCCUACACUCUUUUUUGGUAUCUGGAAUCACCAUGUCAGAGCGUUUCUCCGCUUGCCCUUAGUGGCAUAUGAAGCUGCUGGGAGGCCCAUUCUUUUCUGGGGCAUUGGGUUGCAGACAAAACCCUGAAGCAGCUUUUCUCUAGCCUGCCCAUCCAACUGCUCUAGAACCCAGCUCAACUACUAACUUGUUCAUUAAGCCCCUUCGUAGAUUGCCAAAUCAUGCCCUCUAGCCUGCCCAUCCAACUGCUCUAGAAUCCAGCUCGACUACUAACUUGUUCAUUAAGCCCCUUCAUAGAUUGCCCAAAUCAUGGCGCUGUCCGAUGGUUGUUGUACAUAUUGGAACUAUUGUUUCCUUACGUUGAGCUGAUUAGAAUAUUCAAAGGAACGCUAAUGUAGCUGUUUCAUGAUAUGCAAUGUCAUUUUGUAUCCUCGAAAUGGAGUAAGCGCCUCCAAAGCGUUCUGUAUGCUCUCAAUAGUUGUUCUUGUUCCUCCCAGNNNN
rnacentral:lncRNA from 1 species